AGCAUAAUUUAGUAUCAAUUUGUAAUUCUCUCUUAACCACAUCUCUUCAUGAUGGGCAUUUCAAAACAUUUUAUGUUCUUUGUUCUUCUUGUACUUGUAAUGAUAAUGACCACUUCAAGUCUUGAAGCUAACCAUGUAUUUCUUCAACAUCUUAAAAGUGAUUAUUUGAAGAUGUUUUCAACGAUUGGUUUGGAGUGCAAAUGCUGUGAUGGUGAAGGAGGUGAAUGUACAAAGUCAUGGCAUGGAACUUGCUCAAAUUUUCAAUGCUCUUCUUCGAAACAAUAUUAUUUCGAAAACCCUAAUUAAUUAACCACAUACAACGUCUAUUUCACUUUCAUGUGAUAUAAUAUAAUUAUAUAAAUUACUUGUCCUCGUCCACUUGAUACUAUUAUAACAACAACAUAUCCAGUGUUCUAUAUGGAAUUAAGUAACGAUAUUUAGAACAAAUACAUGGCCGUUAUAUGUGGCACGUGAAAUUUAAUAGUUUCAAUUGUUAUUCUAUGUUAAUGCCAGUUGAUAUAAAAUAAAAUGUUUUUUCUAUCA